GUAUGCCAUACCAGUGUCUCCACACUCAUUGGUUAAGAGGACAACCAACCUAUAUGGCACACAAUGAUCUAUGCUUGAUAAACGUUGUCAUCCUUGGUAACAACGUAUCAUUUGGUCACGAACAAAUUUAAGGACUAAACGAUAAAUCCUCCUUUGUUGAGUCUAAAUAGUCCUAAGGACUUCACCACAACAUAGGAGUUCAUUAGAAGAUGAAAUAUUUUGUGAUAAAAAAUACUAAAAUAAUUUUUAUUAAUUCAUAAUUCAUGUACAUAUACAAAAAUGAGCACAACCGUCAACAGGCUGACGAUUGGCUUUGGGACACUAUUCCCAAUAAUCUCGCCUAAAGCAAAUCGGUGCAGUAUCUAAUACCCAUCUUCGACUUGUAGUCGUUGAACUCCUUCACCGCAAUGGCUUUAGUGAAUGGGUCAGCCAGGUUCUCCUUUCCAUCGAUCUUCUGAAGAUCGAUGUCACCUCGAUUCAUAAUUUCUAAGAUGAGAUGGGAGCGGCGCAGAAUAUGCUUCGUUUGCUAGUGUGCCUUUGGUUCCUUCGUCUGAGCAAUGGCUCUAGAGCUAUCAUAGUAGAGCAGAACUGGACCAACAAGGGAGGGUGCUACUCCAAGCUCAGUGA
rnacentral:lncRNA from 1 species